rnacentral:rRNA from 1 species
UACGAAGGGGGCUAGCGUUGCUCGGAAUCACUGGGCGUAAAGCGCACGUAGGCGGAUCGAUCAGUCAGGGGUGAAAUCCCAGAGCUCAACUCUGGAACUGCCUUUGAUACUGUCGAUCUGGAGUAUGGAAGAGGUGAGUGGAAUUCCGAGUGUAGAGGUGAAAUUCGUAGAUAUUCGGAGGAACACCAGUGGCGAAGGCGGCUCACUGGUCCAUUACUGACGCUGAGGUGCGAAAGCGUGGGGAGCAAACAGG